rnacentral:lncRNA from 1 species
ACUCCUCCAAGCCCCCUUCUCUCCGCAUAGCACCUGUGCCCCACCUUAGGACCUGAUCCUCACCCAGCUCUGCCCUGCCCUCUUGUCCCCACAGGUCCCAAAGAGAGCGUGAACACCUAGCCUAGUGCCAUCAGUCCACCGGGCCUGAGAGUGUCCCCCGCACUGUGCCCUGCAGGCUGAGGCUGCAGGAGGGGUGGCUUUGUGGGGUGCUGAGGACAACAGUCUCCAUGGACGCCCUUCAUGCAUCAGCACCUCCAUGGCCCUCGGGAGCACACGCAGAGGAGCCAGGGCCUGGCCUGAGUGUUGGGAAGGGAAGGGAGUUUUCUGGGCUGAGGUCAGCAGCGGUGGGGCUCAGAGAGAAGGUCCUUUUCUUGUGCUGGAAUUCUGGACUCCCCGUUUUGGGCACUCACCGAGGGCCCUGUCGAGGAGCCCUGGUCUU